UGCCAGUACCGUGGUGACAUGCCGGUGGCAGGGAGAAAGAAGGGGGAAAAAUGCUGGCACCAACCCCUGACAACAAGCCGGGAGGUGGGGUGAAGAUGCAGGCACCAACCCCUGACUACGAGCAGUCAGUUUAAAACAUUAUAAAAAAAACACGCUUGUCAUAUCCUCACAGUGUCCAAAAAAACAACAACAGGGCGGCCUGCCACCACUCAGGCACAAGAUGAUGAUAAUGAUGAUGGUGAAGCAGGACCAUCCACACAACAACGGCUCAUUCCCAGAAGGAGGCGUCCAGAGGAUUCUGCCAGGCAAAGACACAUGGCCCACAGGAGACACAGGCCGGAUGUGCACACCAGACAACACGAGUCACCACUUCAACAACUCAUAUCAAAUGUGUCCUCAAGGCCACCAUUCCAACUAUUGGAGAGUCCGCCAACAUGGGAAGCACAAUCCCCUCAGCUGCCUGGUGACUAGAAAAAAACAAACAUUAGUACACAUACUUACACAGGGCACUUUUUAAAAAUGUAUCCUGGUUGGAGACCACACAAUAACCUACGUACGGCUGAACCCCAACAACAAAAUGCCUAACAAAUGUUAUGGAGUUACAGCUCAAUACUAAAUAUAUGUGUGUCCACUUCAGCCAUAGAGUAGCUUAUUAAGAUGAAGAUGCUGCAACAAAAGUAGAAGUGCAAGCUUUCACAAGGAUUAGAUCAUAAAAAAAUGGUGUGUGGUGAUGUAGUUAGAUGUAGUGUGGAGAUCCUGCAUACCCAUCAUACAUUUUGUGUAACCAAUCCUAGUUUUACACACGUUUACUUUAAACAAGCCAUACACAGUGUUUGCACAGUAUGUUAUGUAUUUGUGACACGGAUUAGGAUUAAUAUUACAUUCUAAAACAACAUAUCUAAUAUAGUCGAGAGGCAUGUCCUUAAUGUAACUGGAGUAUUGAUGUUGUUGGCAACAACACCAUUUGGAACCAUCUUUAUCAUGUCUUGGCACAAAAAAACAACAGAUCAUAUUAAAACAAUAUAUGUCUAGAUAAACUAAAAUGUUGUUCCAUUACAGCCCAUACAGAUGACAACAACAUUCCCCCGGACUCCCAGCAUAACACACAAAUGGAGGAAAGCUUUGUGUUACAUCUCCAGCCAAUCGACCAAACAAUACCUACAAUACCACCUGUGAGUACACCUCCAACAGAAAUAACACCUGCACCAUAAAUCAGUCCACCAUCACCACAAGUGACAACACAGGACCAGGUUUUUUGGAAUACUUGGUCAACCCAGCAGGCAAAUAACCUGGAUUGUCUGCGUAGUCAGACGCAAUUUCUAGCUAGUCUGCCAGAUCAUCUUCCCCGAAUUAGUCAAAAUAGUAGUCGGCUAAAUGUGCAAGUCACUCAAAUCGCCAACACAAUGGAAUUAAUGCGUGCAGACAACACACAUAUGAUGAACACAUUCCAGAGAGUAAUGGAUGAACAACACAGACAGCACCAAAACUACCUCAACAUUUUGGAAACCAACCAAAUGUUAAUAGAAAGCAUCUGCCACAUUAUGGAGAGUCACACUGCAGCUACCAGAGAACUCAAUGCUACUCUGAGUAACCUGAGCCAAAACCUCAGUUCCCAACAAGCAUUACAACCAAGCACCAGCUCAGGAACCACAACUCCUAUCAUUUCCCCAGUUACCUUCCCACCAAUGCGAUCCAGCCUUACACGGACACACAUCACUGGGAAAGGCAUAUCAGCCUCCAAAGUGGCACCCAAAAAAUAGCCUUCAGGUGUUGUUGUUCAUUGUGUUUAGGAUGAAAAAACUGUGUCAGUUUAAGUGUAUGAAGGACACUGAAAAUGUAAAUUUGACAUCAUUAAUGUCUCACAUAAUUUGAUUUUUUUGUAAGUCAUAAUCACUCUCAGUAUUACAUGACCAUUAUUACACUUCUUUCCAAUAAUAAUCAGAAUUAUUAUUCCUUUGUCAGUAUCCAUAUUCUUGACAAUAACAAUCAGAAUCAUUAUUCCUUGGUCAGUAACCAUAUUCUUUACAAUAACAAUCAGAAUCAUUAUUCCUUGGUCAGUAUCCAUAUUCUUUACAAUAACAAUCAGAAUCAUUAUUCCUUGGUCAGUAUCCAUAUUCUUUACAAUUACAAUCAGAAUCAUUAUUCCUUGGUCAGUAUCCAUAUUCUUGAAAUUUACAAUCAGAAUCAGUAAGACCUGAGCAAUAUGUCAUUUAAUUGGUUAAAAAAACAAUCACAUUGUUAGCAAGACAGGUAUUUGCAUUAUGACAAUGUCAUGGCUCAUACUGUAAAAUGUGCCUUUAUUGCUAUUUUAUACAAUGGUAUUUUGUAGAGGUGUGAUUACGCCAUGUUUUUUUUCACAAUUACAAUGCCAUGUAUUCACAUUAUGAAGAUGUUAAUUGUAACCAUUGUUUUUUUACUAAAACAUCACGCAGUGUCAUAGAAAAAAAAAAAAUAAUGUCUUAGUUAAUGGCUUGUAUUUGUACUCUGUGGUUUGGCCACACAAUCAUGCGGCCUUAAACAAGGAAAGC